rnacentral:rRNA from 1 species
GGUUGACCCUGCCAGUAGCAUAUGCUUGUCUCUGAGACUAAGCCAUGCAUGUCUAAGUAUAAGUUAAUUUUUACGGUGAAACUGCGGACGGCUCAUUAAAUCAGUUAUAACCUACUUGAUCGUGUGACUUUAUUCGGAUAACCCUAGUAAUUCUAGAGCUAAUACGUGCUAAAAGCCUUAACUUCCAGCAAUGGGGGAAGAGGUGUAUUUAUUAGAAACUAAAACCAAUCAGCUUCGGCUGUUUGAGAUGAUUCAUAAUAACUCGGCAAAUUACGGGAAAAUUCCUGUGAUGAUUCAAACGGAUUUCUGACCUAUCAACUUUAGAUGGCAAAGUAGGGGUUUGCCAUGGUGACAACGGGUGACGGGGAAUUAGGGUUCGAUUCCGGAGAGGGAGCCUGAGAAACGGCUACCACUUCCAAGGAAGGCAGCAGGCGCGCAAAUUACCCAAUGCUAAUUCGGUGAGGUAGUGACAAGAAAUACCAAUGUAGGACCCAACGGGUACUACGUUUGGAAUGAGAACAAUUUAAAAACCUUAACGAGGAACAAUUGGAGGGCAAGUCUGGUGCCAGCAGCCGCGGUAAUUCCAGCUCCAAUAGUGUAUAUUAAAGUUGCUGCGGUUAAAAAGCUCGUAGUUGGAUUACGAAGUGGUGUUUAAAUGUCAUUUUGGUUUGUUUGUCUUUCGGGGCAUUCAGGUCAACUUGGCUUUUACUCACUGUUGUCAUUGUCUUUGCCCAAGGUAUAUGCCUUGUGUGCAUGGCAUUGACCUUCUAUUUUAUGGUAAUGUUGUAUCUUUCGGGGUACAUUCAUUCCAUAUAGUUUACUUUGAAAAAAAUUAGGGUGUUUAAAGCAGGCGAAAAGGCUUCGGAAUAUAUUAGCAUGGGAUAAUAGAAUACGAUCUAGGUCGUAAUUUGUUGGUUUCUACGGCUUAGGUAAUGAUUGACAGGGAUAGUUGGGGUCGCUCGUAUUGAGUUGUCAGAGGUGAAAUUCUAGGAUUAACUCAAGACGAACUAAUGCGAAAGCAUUCGGCAAGGAUGUUUUCAUUAAUCAAGAACGAAAGUUGGGGGAUCGAAGAUGAUCAGAUACCGUCGUAGUCUCAACUGUAAACUAUGUCGACCGAGGAUCCGGUAGCGUUACAUGGAUGACCUUCCGGGCACUCUGUGAGAAAUCAUAAGUAUUUGGAUUUCGGGGGGAGUAUGGUCGCAAGGCUGAAACUUAAAGGGAUUGACGGAAGGGCACCACCAGGAGUGGAAUCUGCGGCUUAAUUUGACACAACACGGGGAAACUCACCAGGUCCAGACAUAACUAGGAUUGACAGACC